UUUACUCAUUUUAGUGGUUCACUCUUUGGAUCUAGGACCUUGGUCAGCAUGAGCAUUGCACUCACAGAGAGGGUGACACGUUUCCUGAUGCCUGAAAGAGAGAAAUAAGAUGGCCCAGGAGACUCCAGGGCACUCUGCCCACUAAGCAUCUUUUUGGUCCUCCCCCUGCCAGAUUGAAAGAUGACAGACUGAGGACAAGCCCUAAGGGGACAGAGAGUCUAAGGCUCCAUGUUCCAACUCUGCAAGCCCCACCUCAGCUCAACUCAACACCUUAGACCUUCAGCUCACAGUUCUCUACAGGACACUUGUGAAAACUUGGAAAAUAUUAAUUGCUUAACAGUCCGCUUGCAAGUUGAACAGGCAGAUAAGGAGGAAAAGCCUUUCUUCUUUGACAAGCUUUCCAUGAAACAUAACCCCAGAACACGAGUGCCCAGAUGUAUACAUUCCAGGCAUGAAAAUGAAGGAUAAUUCUCCAAAAAGACUGACUGGCCCUUGGGACAAGAU